rnacentral:lncRNA from 1 species
UAUUUUAGGUAAAGAUAAAUGUUAUGUUAGAAUUUAGAAUAAAAAAUUUUUCAAAUGCACCCUAGCGAUCUGAUCUCCAAUGGAAUUUUUUUCUUCAACUGUGCAUCCAAAGGGAGUCUCGAAAAAUAUCCAAAAGACACAACCAAAGUGACCUGACAAAUCAUAGUCUAAACUCCCAAAAUAGCAUAACAGCCCACCUGAAGAUCGAGCAAUCCAGAUUUGUCCACUCGGCCAGGGCUCUCCCCUCAUGAGCUGAUACUUUCUUCAUCUAAAGCAAUUACUUCGGACUCGAAAGAAGGAGACAAGUAUUAUGGGGUCGUACCAUCUUAGCUGUGGACCUCAAGACUCAUCCCCUGAUCCUAGAGUGGUAGAGAUACCAAGAUGACAAAUCUAACUGCCAUCAACCUCUGAGCUGACCUUCGAGGCCCCAAGGAUGGGGGUUCACCAACUACCAAGGGUGAGGCCUCAUGGUCCAUAUUGGUGGAAAUCCUCGUCUGAUCUGAAGAGACAGACAAGUCAGGCCGUGGCCAACCCAUGUAUCGACCAUUGACCCAUACAUCAGCUACCAACCUGUAUGCCGAUUUUUAACUUCUCGCUAGCACCCUCACUCAAGUCACAGAUCCAAGGACUAGGCGUCAGGUCAUGCUUCCUUUGACCCCUGUCGAUCACCAUAUUUGGAAAGACUGAUGGGAGACCCUCAGCAAUCCCA